GACCAUGUGGCCUAAAUGGAUAAGGCGUCGGACUAUUAGAAGUUGGUUGAGGUUGACAUCCGAAAAUUGCGGGUUCGAGUCCCGCCUUGGUUG
rnacentral:tRNA from 1 species